UUCCGAUCAAGCAAGGCCAUAAGGCUACUAAAUGUCAAAGAUAGAUGAAUACCUAUGGUGUUCAUAAGGAAUAAAGAGAGGAGGGCAGAUCUGAGCACUUCCGCGAAUGGACCUCUUUCUUCAUCUAGAGUUUCUUCUUCAGACUCCUCGACUUCAUCAUAAUAAGACGAGAAGUUUUCCCCUGUAUGAUACCUUCCCCAGUAUCUCUCUCUUUGCAUUUUUCGUCUGAGAUCAGCCCACCUAUAGGUCCUUAUGCCAUCGUCAUAUUCAAAGUCGUAUUCCCAAUAUCCCCCCGAAGGCCUGUCAGUAUAAUCCUGAUGUCGAAG
rnacentral:misc_RNA from 1 species